rnacentral:lncRNA from 1 species
GGAGCUCUUUGUGACCUUCUAGAGGUCUUUUGGUCUUUUUGGAGCUCUUCAUGACCUUCUAGAGGUCUUUUUGUCCUUUUGAAGGCUCCUUUUGGAGCUCUUUUGGUGUUUCUGGAGCUCCUUUUGAUCUUAUGGAACUCUGAGUUUUUGGAGCUCUUUAUGACCUUCUAGAGGUCUUUUUGGAGCUCUUUAUGACCUUCUAGAGGUCUUUUUUUUUUUUUUUGGAGUUCUUUUUGACCUUUCUGGAGCUCUUUUGGUCUUUCUGGAGCUCUUUCUGAUCUUUUGGAGGUAUUUUUGACCUUUUUGGAGCUCUUUUUGAUCUUUUU